AUUGAACGCUGGCGGAAUGCUUAACACAUGCAAGUCGAGCGGGGUGUAGCAAUACACCUAGCGGCGGACGGGUGAGGAAUACAUAGGAAUCUGCCUCAGAGCGGGGGACAGCCCGGGGAAACCCGGAUUAAUACCGCAUGAUGUCGCAAGACCAAAGUGGGGGACCGCAAGGCCCCACACUCUGAGAUGAGCCUAUGUCCGAUUAGCUAGUUGGCGGGGUAAUAGCCCACCAAGGCGACGAUCGGUAGCUGGUCUGAGAGGACGAUCAGCCACACCGGAACUGAGACACGGUCCGGACUCCUACGGGAGGCAGCAGUGGGGAAUAUUGGACAAUGGGCGCAAGCCUGAUCCAGCAAUUCCGCGUGGGUGAAGAAGGCCUGG
rnacentral:rRNA from 1 species